rnacentral:rRNA from 1 species
UACGGAGGGUGCAAGCGUUAUCCGGAUUCACUGGGUUUAAAGGGUGCGUAGGUGGGCAGGUAAGUCAGUGGUGAAAUCUCCGGGCUUAACUCGGAAACUGCCAUUGAUACUAUCUGUCUUGAAUACCGUGGAGGUUAGCGGAAUAUGUCAUGUAGCGGUGAAAUGCUUAGAUAUGACAUAGAACACCAAUUGCGAAGGCAGCUGGCUACACGAAUAUUGACACUGAUGCACGAAAGCGUGGGGAUC